ACCAGACUCCUACGGGAGGCAGCAGUGGGGGAUAUUGCACAAUGGGGGAAACCCUGAUGCAGCGACGCCGCGUGAGUGAAGAAGUAUUUCGGUAUGUAAAGCUCUAUCAGCAGGGAAGAAAAUGACAGUACCUGACCAAGAAGCCCCGGCUAACUACGUGCCAGCAGCCGCGGUAAUACGGAGGAUGCGAGCGUUAUCCGGAUUUAUUGGGUUUAAAGGGGGCGUAGGCGGAUUUUUAAGUCAGCGGUAAAUGCCCGGGCUCAACCCGGGCCGGCCGUUGAAACUGGGGAUCUUGAGUGGGCGAGAAGUAUGCGGAAUGCGUGGUGUAGCGGUGAAAUGCAUAGAUAUCACGCAGAACUCCGAUUGCGAAGGCAGCAUACCGGCGCCCGACUGACGCUGAGGCACGAAAGCGUGGGGAUCGAACAGGAUUAGAUACCCCCGUAAA
rnacentral:rRNA from 1 species